rnacentral:lncRNA from 1 species
GAAAACUAUUUUUAUCAUGUUUUAUAGUGUAGAGAUAUACAGUAGAUAUUAUGUGCAUUACAUCAGAUGACAAUGAAAGUGCUCACUACACGUGCCUGCAUGGGGAUGGUUAAAAGUAUUGUUAUCACGCAGGGAAUGAAGCAGUACAGGUUUGGCAUGUCACAUGUGGGAGGGAUGUGGAAAAGGAAUGUUCGUCUCUACAUACAUCUCAAAUCUCCGGAUACAUUUUGAGAAGACUGAGGAGAGCAUCAUGUUUAAAAUGGAGAGAACAGACACGGGGGGGUUGUUCUCAAAUCAUGUUAAAUGCAGGUUGUGUAGUCACAGAGGAAGGCUGUGCUUCUCUGGCCUCAGCUCUGAAGCCAAACCCCUCACACCUGAGAAAGCUGGACCUGAAAUAUAAUCACCCAGGAGACACAGGUGUCCGACUGCUCUCCACUUUAGAGGAUCCACACUGGAGAUAUAGAGGUGUGGAAUAUGAUGGAGAACACAGCCGCUGGAUGGGGGGAGGGGUAGAAUUGUGUUUUUGUCUGUGCUACAGACAGCUAAUACAGGACUAGUAAAGCCCAGUGCACUACUUUUGUGGGGGGGAAAACUUGUUUUUUCCCGGUUUUUCAGGGGGUGCUGCAGCACCCUCAGCACCCCUACUUCUCACGGCUAUGGUGGAGAUUGCAUGGUCAAACCUGGGUUUAAAAAAAUGUGAGUGUUGAUUGCUUUGAAGAGUAAGUCUGUUGUUAUUAACUCUUGAUUCAAAGUCAGAGACCACAUUCAUGACUUACUUGGUCACAUUGUGUGUGUGUGUGUGUGUGUGUGUGUGUGUGUGUGUGUGUGUGUGUGUGUGUGUGUGUGUGUGUGUGUGUGUGUGUGUGUGUGUGUGUGUGUGUGUGUGUGUGUGUAUUUUACAUGGCCAUACAAUGUUGCAUUAUCAUUAUUAUUCAACAAGUCUUAAAUGUCCUUUAAUUACAGUGAGGUCCAAAAGCAUUUGGACAAUUAUGUGUUUUUUGUUGUUUUGAAACGAUACAAUGACUGUGAGGUUAAAGUGCACUUUCUCACUCAUCAUUAUUCACGAUUCAUUCAGGAUUAUCUGUAAUCAUGGUAGCAUCCACAUUAAUGUAGGACGUGUUCAGAAACAUAUUUUAUUGUUAUUUACAAUAUAAAUUAGUCCAAAAUGACACGAUGCAUUAUUUAUUUUCUUUUGGGCACAAAAUAAUCUGAAACACAACCAAAACAAACAGCAAAUGCAUCCAACAAGUUUGUAGUCACAAGCUUGAUGUAGUCAUUGCAUGCUAGGAAUAUGGGACCAAAUAUUACACUUUUGACUACUUUAAUACACAUAUAAGGGAAUUUGUCCAAACACUUUUGGUUCCUAAAAUGGGGGGGACUAUGUACAAAAAGUGCUGUAAUUUGUAAACGGUUCACCCAAUAUGGAUGAAAAUACCCUAAAAUAAAAGCUGACAGUCUGCACUUCAACUGCAUUGUCAUUAUAUAAUUUCAAAUCCAAAAUGCUGGGGUACAGAGCAGAACAACAACAACAAUUGUCACUGUCCAAAUACUUUUGGACCUCACUGUAGGCACAUUUAACAUUGGGUGAAUGAGAAUGUGAAUGAUGAUUCAUUUGUACAUACUGUGUCCUGUCUGAGGAGAACAGAAAGGCAACGUGUCUAAAAGUGCAACACCAGUAUCAUGAUCACCCAGAAAGUUUUGAGGGCUAUGCACAGGUGCUAUGUAGUGCUAUGUAGAGAGGGUCUGACUGGGCGCUGUUACUGGGAGGCAGAGUAGAGUGGGAGAGAAACUGUUCUAGGAGUAGGAAUCAGCAGGAGAUGAUUGCUUAAUGACUUAUGGGCCUGGAGACAAUGACAAGUCCUGGAGUCUGGACUGCUUUGAUGACUGGUACAUUUCCUGGCACAAUCGUGAGGAAACGUCUGUACGUGUCAACGCCUCACGCUCCGACAGAGUAGGAGUGUAUCUGGACUGGCCGACCGCUACUCUGUCAAUCUACACCGUCUCCGCUGAUGACGAACUUACAAAACUGCACACUCCCUCUAUCCAGGGUUUAGAAUCAGGCGGUGUGACUGCUCAGUUUCCCUGUGUCAGAUGGAUCCUGUGUCAACAGCAACAUGACGUUUUCACUCAUGGACUCAUGUUCAGUACGGCACAACCGUAGCAAAAAAAGUACAUGAAAUAACUUUGUAGUCAUGAGUAAACACAUUGGGCCUAUUGCAACCAGCGUUGGCCAGUGUACUAACACGAGGUAAUCUCUCGUUAAACCAUCCAUAUAUGCUAAAAUCACCUGCACACCUGAUCUCAAUUUCAACUGUCAUUGGCCACCAAACUACUGCUCCCUAAAGCUGAUGUCAGUGUUCAUUUUUUGUCCUGCUUGCUGUCAACAUCUUUGAAGAUAUUUUCGCCCUCCGAUAGGUAUUAUCAUCUGUAUAAAUUAAACUAGAUAUUUUUUUGCCGACCAAGGAUAGAUUUAACUAUUGGAAAAUUAUUCUGUACAAUUUCAAUAAAAUAUUUCCUUGUUUACCAAAGCAAAUGUACUGCGGCAAUUUACCCUACACGUUUUAUGAAUGGAAAACUCGUGUUGGUUUAGCCUACUCAAAUAAAAAUGUUGUUUCUAAAUUAAAUCAC